rnacentral:pre_miRNA from 1 species
AAUAAGGUUAUUUUUCAGUUUCUAGAUACAAUGUUUUGACUCUUCGUCUUAUUUGAAUUUUUUUACGAGUAAUAUUUUUAUUGUUACUAGAUGAUAAAAUAUGAAUAAUACUUUAUGCGUGACUAAUUUUUUUAAGUUUUUUUACAAUUUUUUUUAAAAUAAGCCGAAUGGUUAAAGCAUUGAGCACAAAAAUUAAAAAAUGACUUUAAU